rnacentral:lncRNA from 1 species
AGAGUAUCCAAAUUCCCCUAAUGUAAAUAUUCAGAAUCAGUUAAUAUUUCAUUUGACUAGUGCUCCCUCUGCUGGACAUUUAUGUGUUUUUGCUUUUUCCCAGGGUACCCUUCCACGUGCUGUAGACCAUGUCUGGCAGCAUCCUAUUCAAAGGAAUAAAUUCAAAUACUUGAUUGACCAUCCUGUCUCCCUAACAGGAGCUGCAAGGUAAAGAAGGAAGAGGUCAGGAUAGAGGCAGGGAUAUUUCUUUUCUGUAUGAUGUUAAAUAUGUAAGAGGAGAGACUAGAGAGAAUGCAGUUUGUCCCCCGCAUUUGGACCGUGCAUUACAAUCCAAAGAUGAUCACAAGAAACAUGAUGGUGUCCUCGUGCCUCAUAAGAUGGAUGAGUUGCAUACAUCUAUGACCCAGUGGAUGGCAAAUUUGCUGAUUAUAAUGAUUCCUGACUUUACUGACCAUUACACUCUCCCAAAGUUGGAAGAGGAAAGUGCUGACGACCAUGAUAUGGGAAUUGCACAGUUUGAACUAGAUGCAGUUGUACUGGCGAAAAAGUUCAUCCAAGAUACCACCUAUUUGAGCAGUUGUUGCAAAGGGAUGGUAACCGCAAUAGCUCUGAAUAAAGAAGCUUAUUCAGAAAAAAAUCCUGCUAAGGAACUUCACGAACUGGAUAAGAUGAAGAAUGUUAUGAAUGGAUCAACACAUGCUCUCACCUCCUUUCUGAGCUCAAAGACAAAAAAAUGA